rnacentral:rRNA from 1 species
CCUACGGGGGGCUGCAGUGGGGAAUAUUGCACAAUGGGCGCAAGCCUGAUGCAGCCAUGCCGCGUGUGUGAAGAAGGCCUUCGGGUUGUAAAGCACUUUCAGCGGGGAGGAAGGCGGUGAGGUUAAUAACCUCAUCGAUUGACGUUACCCGCAGAAGAAGCACCGGCUAACUCCGUGCCAGCAGCCGCGGUAAUACGGAGGGUGCAAGCGUUAAUCGGAAUUACUGGGCGUAAAGCGCGCGCAGGCGGUCUGUCAAGUCGGAUGUGAAAUCCCCGGGCUCAACCUGGGAACUGCAUUCGAGACUGGCAGGCUAGAGUCUUGUAGAGGGGGGUAGAAUUCCAGGUGUAGCGGUGAAAUGCGUAGAGAUCUGGAGGAAUACCGAGGGCGAAGGCGGCCCCCUGGACAAGGACUGACGCUCAGGUGCGAAAGCGUGGGGAGCAAACAGGAUUAGAUACCCUAGUAGUC